UAUUUUGAGAGUUUGAUCCUGGCUCAGGAUGAACGCUGGCGGCGUGCCUAACACAUGCAAGUCGAGCGGAGCUUUAAUCUUUACAGCUUAGCUGAAAAGAUUAAAGCUUAGCGGCGGACGGGUGAGUAACGCGUGGGCAACCUGCCCUGUGCAGGGGGAUAACACAUCGAAAGGUGUGCUAAUACCCCAUAAGACUACGAUGUCGCAUGGCAUAGUAGUAAAAGCUGAGGCGGCA
rnacentral:ncRNA from 1 species